AGGUUGCCACGUAGACACGU
rnacentral:misc_RNA from 1 species